rnacentral:siRNA from 1 species
UAUAUAUGAAAGAAGCCUAACUC